UAACUUUGAAACUGCGAAUGGCUCAUUAUAUCAGUUAUAGUUUAUUUGAUGAAGAAUACUAAUUGGAUAACCGUAGUAAUUCUAGAGCUAAUACAUGUAUAAAGUCUUGUAGACUGCAUUUAUUAGAAUGAAAACCAUAGGUUUCGGCCUAUUCGUGAGUAAUAAUAACUAAUCAUAUCGUAUGCUUAUGUAACGAUGUGUCUUUCAAGUUUCUGCCCUAUCAGCUUUCGAUGGUAGUGUAUUGGACUACCAUGGCAGUAACGGGUAACGAAGAAUUUGGGUUCGAUUUCGGAGAGGGAGCCUGAGAGAUGGCUACCACAUCCGAGGAAGGCAGCAGGCGCGUAAAUUACCCAAUCCUGACACAGGGAGGUAGUGACAAUAAAUCACAAUGCGGAACAAUGUUUUGCAAUUGGAUUGAGAACAACGUACAAACCUUAUCGAUAAACAAUUGGAGGGCAAGUCUGGUGCCAGCAGCCGCGGUAAUUCCAGCUCCAAUAGCGUAUAUUAACGUUGUUGCAG
rnacentral:rRNA from 1 species